rnacentral:rRNA from 1 species
UACGGGGGGGGCAAGCGUUGUUCGGAAUUACUGGGCGUAAAGGGCGCGUAGGCGGCCAUGCGUGUCUUCCGUGAAAUCCCUCGGCUUAACUGAGGACGUGCGGAAGAAACUGCAAGGCUCGAGUCCGGGAGAGGGGGGUGGAAUUCCCAGUGUAGCGGUGAAAUUCGUAGAUAUUAGGAAGAACACCAGUGGCGAAGGCGGCUCACUGGCCCGGUACUGACGCUGAGGCGCGAAAGCGUGGGGAGCAAACAGG